rnacentral:rRNA from 1 species
AUUGAACGCUGGCGGAAUGCUUUACACAUGCAAGUCGAACGGCAGCACGGACUUCGGUCUGGUGGCGAGUGGCGAACGGGUGAGUAAUACAUCGGAACGUGCCCAGUCGUGGGGGAUAACGUAGCGAAAGCUACGCUAAUACCGCAUACGAUCUAAGGAUGAAAGCGGGGGAUCGCAAGACCUCGCGCGAUUGGAGCGGCCGAUGGCAGAUUAGGUAGUUGGUAGGGUAAAGGCCUACCAAGCCGACGAUCUGUAGCUGGUCUGAGAGGAUGAUCAGCCACACUGGGACUGGGACACGGCCCAGACUCCUACGGGAGGCAGCGGUGGGGAAUUUUGGACAAUGGGCGCAAGCCUGAUCCAGCCAUUCCGCGUGCAGGAUGAAGGCCUUCGGGUUGUAAACUGCUUUUGUACAGAACGAAAAGGCUCUGGUUAAUACCCGGGGCUCAUGACGGUACUGUAAGAAUAAGCACCGGCUAACUACGUGCCAGCAGCCGCGGUAA